AGCUUUGCGCAGUGGCGAUAUCGUAACCAAUGAGGUCAAACCGAGGUGCGAUUAUUGCUAGUUGAAAACUUUAACCAAUACCCCGCCUUGUGGUCAUGAAAAACUGACCGCUACGGCAAUUUUUGUAAAUCCCUAAGGGGA